rnacentral:rRNA from 1 species
CGAUGAACCGCCUUCGGGCGGGGAUUAGUGGCGAACGGGUGAGUAACACGUGGGCAAUCUGCCCUGCACUCUGGGACAAGCCCUGGAAACGGGGUCUAAUACCGGAUACAACCGCUUCGGGCAUCCGAGGGCGGUGGAAAGCUCCGGCGGUGCAGGAUGAGCCCGCGGCCUAUCAGCUUGUUGGUGAGGUAACGGCUCACCAAGGCGACGACGGGUAGCCGGCCUGAGAGGGCGACCGGCCACACUGGGACUGAGACACGGCCCAGACUCCUACGGGAGGCAGCAGUGGGGAAUAUUGCACAAUGGGCGCAAGCCUGAUGCAGCGACGCCGCGUGAGGGAUGACGGCCUUCGGGUUGUAAACCUCUUUCAGCAGGGAAGAAGCGCAAGUGACGGUACCUGCAGAAGAAGCGCCGGCUAACUACGUGCCAGCAGCCGCGGUAAUACGUAGGGCGCGAGCGUUGUCCGGAAUUAUUGGGCGUAAAGAGCUCGUAGGCGGCUUGUCGCGUCGGUUGUGAAAGCCCGGGGCUUAACCCCGGGUCUGCAGUCGAUACGGGCAGGCUAGAGUUCGGUAGGGGAGAUCGGAAUUCCUGGUGUAGCGGUGAAAUGCGCAGAUAUCAGGAGGAACACCGGUGGCGAAGGCGGAUCUCUGGGCCGAUACUGACGCUGAGGAGCGAAAGCGUGGGGAGCGAACAGGAUUAGAUACCCUGGUAGUCCACGCCGUAAACGGUGGGCACUAGGUGUGGGCGACAUUCCACGUCGUCCGUGCCGCAGCUAACGCAUUAAGUGCCCCGCCUGGGGAGUAC